AGAGAGAGAGAGAGAGAGAGAGAGAGAGAGAGAGAGAGAGAGAGAGAGAGAGAGAGAAACAGAGAAACAGAAAGGGAGGAUGGGUGGUAGGGAAAACGGGCUUGUUAACUCAAGCUCGUCACGCUUGCUUGUUUUCACGCUCGUCUGGCGCAAAUCUGAUUUUCGAUUCUUUUUUCGUUUUUAUAUCGCACCGAGAAAGGGGAGCUUUCGUUGAGCGCAUUGCUCAGAGGAAUGAGCAUCGAAACGAAGGCUCGGAAGGAUGAUGGGAAAGAGGGUGAAGAAAAAAAAGAGAGGAAGAGGAGGAAGAGAGAGAACGUAGGAAUGGAGCGACGUUGAAGUAUCGUGUUUCAACAGCGCCAACGGGCAAAUGCCUGAAAUGAGCCUGGAGUUGGGGAAGACAGAAAAAAUAGGAAGGGAACGCGAUUAGGUAGGAAAUGUAACGUGGUAGAUAUGAAUUAAAAAUACUCCUAUAUUUAAUGUGCCUCACGCGAUGUGUUUCUCUCCCGGUUAUGAUGUGAACUUCAUAGAAAGAUAAAUACCUUCUACUUCACUUACGUAAUACGUACAUACAUAUACAUAUAUAUAUAUAUAUAUAUAUAUAUAUAUAUAUAUAUAUUUUUUUUUAUAUAUAUAUAUUUAUAUAUAUAUUUAUAUAUGUAUAUACAUAUCUGUUCAUCAUUCGUUAUUCAAGCCGUGGCAUAUACAUGGCUACAUAUGUAAGUAUAUAUAUAUAUAUUUAUGUAUACGUAUAAAUAUAUUUGGCUUUGCGUAUAUUUUAUAUUCGGCUAAGUUUUAAACUUUUCUUCAAGAGAGAACUUAUAAUAUAAUAGAGAGCCUAUUUAUAUUUCGCUGUGUAAAUAAUUUCAUCGUAGCAUGAAAUGAUUUAUUUAAAAAAAUGUUGAAAGUAAUUUCGUUAACACCUCACUCGGAACUUCUAUUAUUACUGGAGGUAUAUGCGAGAAAAAUAAAAAAAAGCGAACAGGAUAUUCAGGACAAUAGAAAAGGAUAGAAAGAAAAAAGAUAUAGACACCGUGCAAAGGAGAUCUAAUGGAGGGAAUGUUAAGUGGUUGGAAGGGAUGAAAGAACCCGUACAAGAGAAUUUAUCUUUUACGAAAGUCGAAUGCUUGCACGAUAGAAAUUAGUAUCCGGGGUAAACGGAAGGCACUAGAUAGAUCGCGUUACAAAGGAUAGAAGAUAGCUGUGCAAAUUAUUUGUAGACGAUAGUCAAAAGAUGGUAGGAUAAUGACGAUGAUUAUCACUUUCUUAAUUUGUUUCGAGAGGGGAUGAAAACGAAUACCCCGAAAGAGAAACUUUGAGAGAAGAUAAGAUCAAGUGACACGUCGAAGAUAUUUUUUGAACGUUAUUAAAUCGUCGCUAUUUUUUUUUAUUUUGAUUAAGACAGAGAUAAAGGGAAAAAUAAAUAAUUCCUCGUAUGUAAAUAAUUCGUCGAUCUUUCCUAUUUUUCUCACGUGAUAAAAUAAAAUGUCUAUCAUUUUCGUGACGCGUUAUACAUUUGAUUGCAAUUUUACAAUAAAGAGUCGUAUAAAAUGCUGAAACUCA